rnacentral:rRNA from 1 species
UCAGAUCAGGUAGGAAUACCCGCUGAACUUAAGCAUAUCAA